rnacentral:rRNA from 1 species
GAUGAACGCUAGCGGCAGGCUUAACACAUGCAAGUCGAGGGGCAGCGCGAUGUAGCAAUACAUUGGCGGCGACCGGCGCACGGGUGCGUAACACGUAUGGAACUUACCCUUUACUGGGAGAUAGCCCGGAGAAAUCCGGAUUAAUAUCCCAUAAUAAACGAAGUGGCAUCACUUUGUUUUGAAAGCUCCGGCGGUAAAGGAUGGCCAUGCGCACGAUUAGCUAGUAGGUGAGGUAACGGCUCACCUAGGCUACGAUCGUUAGGGGGCCUGAGAGGGUUAUCCCCCACACUGGUACUGAGACACGGACCAGACUCCUACGGGAGGCAGCAGUGAGGAAUAUUGCGCAAUGGAGGCAACUCUGACGCAGCCAUGCCGCGUGCAGGAAGAAGGCGCUACGCGUUGUAAACUGCUUUUAACCGGGAAGAAACCCUCCGACGUGUCGGAGGUUGACGGUACCGGAGGAAUAAGCACCGGCUAACUUCGUGCCAGCAGCCGCGGUAAAGUCGUACG